GAGGGAAGCAGAGGAGCUGAGUGCAGGGAUGGGCAGGGAACAGUAGGACAGGGCACAGUGCUGCGGGGUGAGAGUGGGAAAUAUAGAAAGCAGCAGGAGUUCACCCCACAUGGCUUUCACACAAACCCUUCUCAGGCACCCACUGCACAAGCAUCUCACGCUCUGGGCCAUUCUUUGCUUAUUGCUGCAGGCUGCAGCCUCCUGCUCCCACAGCCCCAGCUUAACAUAGUGCUCUCCUUCCAGACAGGGCAUAAACGUUUCCAGAUCGACUCGCGAAGCAAAUGAGAUUGGGGCAAAAAAAGAAAAAAGGGAAAAAAAAAAAAAAAAAAAAACCACAACUUUCUUGCAAUGUUAAUAUCCUUGCAAUAUAGAUAAGGGAUUUGAAUUUUAAAUAUUAUUUUUAUUACUACAGCUCUUCUAAUGUCUGUAAUUGCUUUCUGUAAAAACGAAACCUCCCCCGUUCUCUUGUAGGUUUGUUUGCCUGCUUUGCAGGAUGACAAUUAUGCAUGCAGAGAAAGAGAAGGGGAGGGGGAAAAGGAAAGCUAUUUGCACUUGUUGUCCCCGAGUUUCAUAGGUCUGUGCAGAAGCCAAGGCACCAUCAGGCCUGACGACUCGAUAAAAUAUGCAGCUUAUCUCCCUGGAUCCAUGCCCUACUUGCAAAUGCAUCGCACAAAGGGAAAUUUGCGGGUGCACCGCUCUCGCCAUGCUCUCUGCCCCUGCUCUUGUUCUUUUUCCUUAGGAAGAACACGGCUAAGUGCCUCCAGGCCGAGGUCUGCCCCAUGUUUUUCCUUCCCAACCAGGCUUAAAGGCAGAUGAGGAGAAAAGCCAAUAGAAGGCAAGGCUUGCAGAAGCCCUGCCGGAGCCCACAGGAUGAAAGGAAAGCAAAAGCAAGGCACGGUGAUUGGCACGCCUGCCCACCAGCAAAUAAGGUGCACAGGUCACGGAGAAGGUGAUAUUUCACAGUCGGCGCAGGACGGCUUUAUUGGACAAGACUAGUGCCAGAUUUCUGCAAUUGUUUCCAAGCAGCUAUUACAGAUUCCUGCGAGGUUCAGGCUGGAAUGAAUUAUGAGCUGGAGAGAAUUUCUGCCUAGCCAGACAUUUACCCACAGGGUUUUUAAAAGGCACCGGUAAUCAUAGCAUUGUGUGUGAGCGGUUCAGCCCCAUGUAAACAGCAGCAGAUUACAAAGAUGGGAUCAAGUCAUCUGUGGAACAUGGUACCACUGACCUGGGGAGAGCUCUGCUAGCAAAGCUCCUCGUGAAGAUACAGCUUAAUUCUGACGCUGGAUUUCUCAAAUUCAGUUUGGAGGACUGGGAGUAGUCUAUCAGCUAAUCCACAGGCCAAUGGAUGUCAGGCUCAGAAGUUAAGGGCUGAUUUCUGACAGCGCUAAACUUUGAUCUGGGAAUGGCAUGCGAUGUGUUCUCUGCCUGAAUAUCAUCAAUUUCAUGCUUUCGACUUUGCUCCCUGAUGUUCACAAAACUUGUGUGAUUCAGCGAGGUCAGCGUGUCUUGGUUACAGAGCUCCGCAGCUCUCUGCUCUCCAUCCUCCCCACCUGAGCAUGGGUAGCAGUUAUAGUUCUGAGCCUAAACGUUGUGUUUGGGGAAUAAAUGGGUUUUGCUUUCUG